AUAGCAAAACAACCUAAAUUUUGGCAACAAGACAAUAGUUAGUAUUUUUGUUCUUCUUUAUCAAGUCACUGUCAAUGCAUCUUCCUCCUGUAUUUGGUUGAAACUUCACGUUGUCUCUUGUUAUUUCCAGCUUGAAUAGGUGCAGCUUUGACAAAGUAUAGGAUGGGCAGAUGUCGCGAAAGGAAUAAUCAUGGUUUUUGAAGACUGAUAAUGCUCCCUCGAGUACUACACAGCAAAAAAACUCAGGUUAGUGUGCGUUAAGAUCUACAAUAGUUAUGUGGUUGUAAUGCAAAUCUGAACAUACUUUACCUUGAGUAGGUAUAAUUUGAUCCGGCUACUUUAUGUGCUAAGGACUUCCUUGUAUACUAUGUUCUUCAUGGUCGUUAAUAAGGGCUCAGAUCUUUUUCUCUUCUUUGAAUUCUUGCUUUGUUCCUUGCCCUUGCCUUUAUCCUUGCCGUCGUCGUUGAUGGCGAGAAUCUUAAUGUUCCUCUUCACGGUGGCUCUAGACAAUGCAACAUAGAGCUGACCGUGAGAGAAAAUCGGGUCCGGUAGGUACACCCCGACAAUCGGUAUGGUCUGUCCUUGUGCCUUGUUGAUCGUCAUGGCAAAGCUGAGCCUAAUAGGGAACUGCUUCCUCUUGAACUUGAAAGGGAAGAUAUCAUCAUCGGAUGGGCAUAGAGGUAUCCGAGGAAGGAACACCCUCCUACCAUCAUGUUGUCCUAGCACGAUUUCUGCGUCGAUGGUGUUCCUCUGGAAACCCCGGACCACAAGCCUUGUGCCAUUACAUAACCCAUUAGCUGGAUCUAUGUUUCUCAAUAGUAUAAUGGGGCAAUUUAUCUUUAGUUUGAGGGCAUGCGGAGGCAGCCCGUUGGGAGUCAGGUUGUUGAGGAACUCGGGGGCAUAGUAGCCGUGUGGGUCAUCCUAUGCACUAUCAAAACUAUGGUAGAUCUUCUCUUCGCCCUGGAAGCGCUCUAUCAUGCGUGUGUUUAUCUUAUCAACAUUGUCGUUCUUGGUGGAUAGGAUCGCUCGAGAUGUCAUGUAAUUUGGAUCAGACAUGUUGUGGUCUAGAGCAGGAAAUACAUGGUCGAUUAGCUUCUCUAGGUCAACACCGUCUCCUGUUGGCGGCACACAAAUGUCUUGAGGGAGCCUUAUGUUGCCUUCGUCGUCGGUUUCUUCGGUGUCGUUGCCUACCCUUGGCAAGUAAUCUACGAACCACGGGUCGUUAUGCGCCCUCAUGUUCGUGAUGAGCCUUAGCUGGCGCAUACCCUUCCAAAGGUAUGAACUCCGUAGGGUCGCAUCGAUUAUCUGACCCCGUGACCCUUUCCUGACGACUGGAAGCACCUGCGUGAAGUCCCCACCGAACACGACAGUUUUCCCCCGAACGGUUGGUGUCGUCGUCCCAUAAUGUCCCGCAUGCUAUUAUCCAGUGCCUCAACAGCUUGCCCCUUUGUCAUGCUGGCCUCGUCCCAUAGGAUGAGGGAAGCCAUGCGUAGGAGCUUGGUCGUCCCACUUUGCUUGGUGAAGCUGCACGACGCCCCAUCUUCAAUGCUGAGUGGGAUCUUGAACCUCGAGUGGGCUGUCCUGCCUCCAGGCAUGAUGGAAGCCGCGACGCCGGACGUCGCCGUAGCCACCGCUAUCUUGCCCUCCCCCUGAACCUUUGCGAGCAGUGCCCUGUAUAGGAAGAUCUUCCCGGGGCCUCCCGGGCCAUCGACAAAGAAUACACCCCCAUCACUGGCAUCUACUGCUGCCAGGAUCUCGUCGUAUGCAAGCCUUUGCUCAGGGUUUAGCGAGGACGCUAAAGCAGCAUCGUGUGCGUCAACCUCGAUGGUGGACUCCUCUGUGACUUCUCUGGCCUCGCCUCCACUAGUGUCAUAGGUCUCGUCAAUGUCCGGAAGAGGGAACAACGCUAUGUCUUUGCCCAUUGACUGUAGCAUGCCCCUGAUGUCUAGCAACACCAUCUGCUCCAUUGCCUUUGAGCAGGUGUGUGAUCGGCGGUAGUCAUCAGACAUCGCCUCUAGGUGCCUAUCCCAUAGACCCGCGCACGUCACCUAGCUCACAAAAUACCAAGAUUGUUGCAAAGAGCCUCCUGAGCGAGGCUGGCAUCGCGAAUUGUGUUGACUCUGUAAGAGACUUGUCAAGCGUGUUGUCGGCCUCGAUGAGGCCUGAUCUCUCGGCAACAUCGCGGAAGAUAUCACAUAGCACACCGUCCACGGUCCUUAGGUCCUCGAAAGAUGUCUUGCCUGGUACGUGGUUGAGCACCACUCGCAGAAAGUAUCGCUCCCCCUCGGCUGGAUGUGCUGACACGAUUCGACCUACUUGGUGUUGCUUUUGCCUCGGCCUCCAGUACUUUGCUCUCUGCCAUGUGAAACUUCCCGGAAAGUCCUUGUACAGGAUAUCUCGAGCCCAAACAUGUUGCUGAUUAGCGAGGAAAUACUCCAUCAACAUUGACUUAGAUACUUUAUCACGGGCGACGACAUCGGUCAGGUCCUCUCCUGCUUUGAACGUGACACUAUGCAUAUUUGGGAGAUGAAGCGGCAAUUGUAGGACCGACGGGAAACUCUCAGAAAGCUUGAAGCCGAAUAUCCUCCACAUCGCCUCCGGUGGAGUAACCCAUCUCGCAUCGAUGUACCUUUUAAUCUCUUCUACAACCCCUUUGUCAUCGGGCUGGUCAAUGCUAAUUGAAGCUCGAUCGUGGCCCGUGUAUACGUAUUUGUAAAGGUACUUGACAACCUUGAUGCUGGAGCACACCUCGACAUUUAUGUGGUAGUUGAACAUCCGCAAUAGAUAAGGGUUGUAAGGCACCACCCAUCUUUUAUCCAACAUCUGACGGCGGACCUUAGCCUGACGACCAUCGUCCCGCCGUCGAUAGACAGGGUAUGAAUCCUUCCCCUGUAAGGUGUUCUGGUUGAAUGGUCGUGGGUACUGGCUCUUGCACUUCAAGUCUUGCAUACACACAUUUUUGGGAUUUAGAUUACCGCAUGGGCCGUGCAUCAUAUGCUUCACGACCAUGGCAUAGAGCUCUGGAUACUUAUGCUUGUUCGGGAGCUCUGCGGAUAUGAUGCGGUCAUACUGCUCUGGCACCACAAGUUUAUAUUCUCUAUUCAUGAUCAACAGGAAGUGCGCAUGGGGGAGGCCCCUCUUUUGGAACUCGAAGACAUACACAUGCGCUACCACAACACCUAGGAUGUGCUUCUUGAACAACAUCUCUUUCAUGGUCUCCAACUUGGCCCUAAACACGCGUGCGACAAGAUCUGGUCGGUCCUGGGGUGUCUGGCCAGGAAGCAGCUCAUUCAGUAUCUCCUCCCAGCUAGGAUUGCACAUCAUAAUCAAAAAGAUGUCAGGCUUCCCAUAGGUCUGCACCAGUGCCAUAGCGUCUAUAUGCCUCCCCUUCAUGUCUCGGUUGCUCCCCUGAUGCGUCCCUGGGAGCACGAUCCUCUUACCAACAGCGCUCGCUUGCACCUCCCCAACCGCGAUGCUAUUCACAAGGCCUUGAUAUAGAUCGGCACGUAACUGUGUUUGGUGGUCCCUGAUCCACUUCAGCCUACAACCCUCAAUCUUGAUGAACAUGUCCACACCCCACUGCUGGAACAGGUGUGCUCCGUGAAGUAUGGGGUUGAAUAUCGCAGGGCGUGUUUGUAGUCGGUAACAGUAGUAGUCCCUGACAGAGACGCACAACCGGCUGUUCCCCUCUGUGCAAAGACGUGAAAGAAGAAGGUUAGGUACCAUAUGGGAACGAAAGACUCUGUUUAUUUUUUUGCAUAUAAGCAUACCAAACGGGCGAACCUGAAUCAUUAUCGUGGUUCCGUCUUGGUUGUUGUGCAAGCUCCCAAGGGACAUUGCGCUUCGGUAUAUUUGGAUGCCAACCAAGCUCCCCCUUUGGGAAAAAGAGGGGAUACGAGAGCGGGUCAUAGCAGCCAUCUGUGGCAUGUAUACUAUGCUUCUCGUUGUUGUCCCCACAGAGUGUAAUGCUGUGGUUGAACCUGUUUGCUAGAUCGUUUCCCUCGACCCAAAUUGCAGCCAUCUCGGAUGACACAGGCCUGUUAUAUCUCCGUUGAUCGAGCUUCUGGUCAGUGUUGAGGUCUAUGCGGUACUCCUCGAGGUUUUCCUUGUGGGCACCCAAACUUCUAAACGGUUGGGAGUAGGGGUUGCCCCUGAGGAUGUCCACUAACUUGCUGACGACGCGUUGGCCCAAUUUCUUGGUAGCCUCAUUGCGAUGGCUUAAGCUGGGGUCGUCGUCAUAGAAGUACAACUGCAGAUGUCUAGGAUGAGCUGUUGGACCGAACGAAUGCACUUUGUGGUAAAUAGUACCCUGCGCCGAAACGUGUAUACCCCAAACUUCAUGUUCGUAUAAUUGUUGUCUAGGCUGACGCCAAGGGUAGUGAAGGAGAAGUGACCGUUGAAGAACCGAAUGCUCUCCCGGAAGUGCCGAGAGUCUGCAUCUCCGCUAGACCAUAACCUCAUCAGCUCUGGAAUAGGCUAUGGUUGGGCCAAAUCUAUUUCGCUGUUUCGACAGCAGAAGCCAUCUGUCUCGUACUGGAACUUCCUGGCCUUUUAAUGGUCGCAGUUCGCCGCGUGCUUCAGGAUGUGUGUGCUGUCUGGGAUGUUUGAAUAGACAUAGUCAAAAGGAUCAAGGUCGAUAGGUCCCGUGUUGGAGGAGUCCACGGGCUGAUCAAUGUUCGUGACAUCAGCGUCGUAUCCUGCAAGCAUCAUCGAGACAUAACAUGUCAUGAUAGGAUUCACAUCAUAAAAGAAUAGUAUACAGGGACGAGAAGCGAAAGGCGCCUCAGAGUACCUUCACCGGCAAACAGGUAGUACUCAUCAUCCAUGAGGCCAUCGGAGAGUGCACCAUCGUCCAUUAUGUCGCUGAGGAAGGCUUCCAUAUCAUCUGCAACAUUGUUGAGCCGGUAAGACGGCGUGCUUGAUGAAGGGGGAGGAAGGUUUAGUGUGACUGGUGACAUGGUGGAGAGUAAAGAUGAGAGGGUUACCAUCGGUCCCUAUGGUGUAAGACGGCGUGCUUGAUGAAGGGGGGGGGAAGCCAGUGAAGCAGCUCUUGUGGGUGGUGAAGAUGAGCUUGUUGCUGAUUUGUUCACAUCUAAGGUACUUGCCUCUUGGCGGGGAGUCCAACGUUUAGCUUCAAAGCUUGCAUUACGACGAUCUAGCAAUGCUGACUUCUUACCUCCUGGUAUGUUCUUCCCGAGUGCCCUUCGUUUUACGGCAUUCCCUUGAAUCUUCUUUAUGACCAUACCUUCUUUCUGAGCUCACUGCUUAGACCUACGCUGUGAUCUGGUCUCAUGCCUCUGCUCAUGGGCUUGAUUCUGGUUGUCGUAUAUUCACUGAUAAUUGCCUUGUUGCGACACAUUUAUGGGCUCUUCCUGUUGAUCACCAUCGCCCACGGUACGACUAAGGUACUCGCCUGCACCGUUAGUGAGCCGGUAAAUACUGGUUGAACACACAUAGACAUAUGAAGUAGUGUAAAGAUGGGGGGGAUUACCAUCUGAUUCUAAGCCGAGACCAGCCUUACUUGUUGACCGGGGGGCUUGAGAUGAAGCGGCGGGUUCCCGGACUGCCAACGCAUGAGUGGUCGACAUCAGGUUUGUGGCAGCUAAGGUAGAUGCAUCUGGUCGCGGCAUUGCUAUGGAUUCAAUGAAGGGGUGUUGCGCCUAGCCGCGAGUUUUGCGUUUCUCUGAGCUCGCAUAUUCUGCUCCUCUUCGGGUGACAUGUUUUGCACACGUGCUCUUCGACGGGAGUUUGUCUCUUGAUUAUCGUCGUCGGUCAUAUUUUGGUAGGCAACCCUUCUACAACUAUUCCUAUCUUGCUUGUCCUCGACCGACAUAUUUUGGUAGGCUGCCCUUCUAAGGGCGCUUCUCUGUUCCUUCUCCUCUGAUGUCAUAUGUUGCAUGGCUUCUCUUUGACAGGAAUUUCUCUCCUCAUCUGUUUUUUGUUUUCCUAGCUGCUCUGCGACGGGCAUUGAUUUCCGCCUUCUGUUCAGGUGUUAACCUAUUUUGCCGUGCUAUAUAUUGGUUUCGCCUUUUUUGUUUUUUGUCUAAUGUAAUGGCUGCGGUUGAAGCAAAUUGUUCAAGACCAGUGUGUGAGGUGUUGAUCCUCGGCGCUAUAUAUGAAACAAUAUCAUGCUCAGUGCUGCUAUGUGUUCCUCCAAGUGAUGCACGAUGAUCAUUGUAGGCCUCUUCACGAGAAUGAUUUCCUGGUGAACCAUUUUAUGGACCACUUUCGUUAAGAAAUGUACAAAUGCUAACGGAAAAUAUCUUAGUGGGUUAAAUCUCUACCACUUGGAGUUUUGACAUGCGGCACUGCCUGAAAGGCCGUGAGAUUGCCAGCUAUGGGAACCAUCAUACGGAGUUGCGUGGGCAGAUUUUCAUCAUCGUCGGAAGAGGAAACACCGUUGUUAGUAAUGUCCGUUUGGUCGCGUAUGAAAAAACCAGACAGUGGUCGGUGGGUAAGGUGGAUUGACUCCUCGGUGUCCUCUCAUAUUCAACAACUGAUAAGAAUUAAUGUAGGAUAAGUUGUGAAAGAUUACUGUAUACCUUAUAUGCAGACAUGUGAUUGGCAUAGACAUACCUCUUUUUCCUUUAUCAUACACAUUCACGCUUUCCUGUGACAUCUCUGGCUCCUAUAUGUUAUUCAUUAAAAUUGCAUUCUUUUGAAAUAAGAAAAUGAUAAAACAUGAUGAAUGAUGAAUGCACUCUUUUGCAAUAAGAAAACUGCAUUCUCCUAUACUGUGUAAACCUUCUUUUAGUUGAGCUGAUUUAAUAAGCAUCAUAUUCUACUUUGCAGGCCUUGCUCCAUUUUAUGUAGUGGGACGAGUUGCCCAAUAUAGAAGAGCUUACUGGUCUAAAUAUGACUUGGGUUUCCACUUUGAUGGCUCAGCAUUUGCUUGUAGCUCCUGACGGGUAUGCAUUGGAGAGACUAACGUUGCUUUCUGAACUCAAUCAAUGUAAAGACAUUGCGAGUAAACAAAGUUCCAAAUACUUUGGCGUUGGCUGAACAACACCAUUUCCACCAGGUAAAAACUGUUUGCUUGAAAUUCGUGGCCUCGCCGAAAUAUUUGAAAGGUAGCUAGCAAUCUUCUGAAUUUAAGCCUGAGAAUAUGUUUUGCUGUAGAAUUUGGCGAUAUCCGGUGUGGGUUUUCUUGUGGCUACAGAAUUUGUUACAAUAUGAUGAAAUUAUGCUUUAUGCUUCUUUAGUUAAUGCAAUUAUGUUGUAUGCUUCUUUAGGUUAACAUAUUUUAGGUCCCAGAAUGAGAUUAAUCAUGUUGUUACAUUGGCAAAUAUAGUGUGUAUUUCAUAUCAUCUUUUUUCAUGCAAAAUAAAAAAAGUGGUAGACGGCUUAAAUAUUUGGAAAUUCCUAGGUUAUGUGCCAGCUGCCAAGUAUUCGAUCUGUUGGUACAUACUUGCUGCUAUAAAUGCCAGUUUGGAACCUAAAAACUUUGGUUAUUCUUGGUUUGCUGUUUGGAAAUUAAAGGUAUUACCGUAGCAUUAAAUGUAUUAACUUGAAUCUAACUCUUCUCUAUCUGCGAGCUCAGAUGUGUGGCAACAGUGUUUCUUGGCCAUUGAAUUGGAUAAUUUUCGUGAUUAUAAUUUUCAACUAAAUCAUGCAUAAGGAGUUCAAGAUUGGGUUUUCUUUUAUUUUUUGAAAAAUAAGAUUAUCCAUAUAAAAAAGUACAUAUUAAGGAAUCUUUUGUGAGUGGUGCAAGGCCUUUUGAUAGUAUGCAAAAAUUUAUGCAUAUACUGUUCCAUUUUCCUUACCUAACAUGGUGUUUCUUGAUACAGUGGGAGUAGAGGUCAACGGUACUUGUGGAGUGGUGCAGUUUAAAUGUUUUAAGUGAGACUUGGUUUGAUGCCUCUAUGAUAGAUGAAUACAUCCUUAAUCCGGCUAUCAAAUAAUUGCAUCAUACUUGGAGGUAGCAGGGACGUGACAUAUGUCUUUCGAAUCUAGGUAGUACUUAGCUUACCUGGUAGACAACAUUACUUUCAAAAUAUUUACCAAUUAUGAUAGGAAAAUCCUAUCUGUAUUGAUGGAGCUAGCACUGCAUUGUAGAUUGAACAUGCCUAACUCUAAACCCUCAUCCUCACACUUCGAUUUGAGAUAUAAAGACGAUCGACGAUUGUGUGCUUUUGUAUUUGAAGUUUUCAUCAACUUCGAUUUGUUUAUUCAGAUCAAGACGGUGGUAUAUACAUCCGAAUUCGAACCAAAGAGUGCCUUAAAAGGAGGGAAUUAGCAGGGCAAGGAAAGAAUAAUGGAAGGUAAUUUUGAUUAUCUUUACUAUUAAAAGGACCAUAAUAGUUUUCAGAUUCCGAUUCUCUUGACAAAUAUUUGUUUCU
rnacentral:lncRNA from 1 species